UCAGUUGUGAAAGUUUGCGGCUCAACCGUAAAAUUGCAGUUGAUACUGGCAGUCUUGAGUGCAGUAGAGGUGGGCGGAAUUCGUGGUGUAGCGGUGAAAUGCUUAGAUAUCACGAAGAACUCCGAUUGCGAAGGCAGCUCACUGGAGUGUAACUGACGCUGAUGCUCGAAAGUGUGGGUAUCAAACAGGAUUAGAUACCCUGGUAGUCCACACAGUAAACGAUGAAUACUCGCUGUUUGCGAUAUACAGUAAGCGGCCAAGCGAAAGCAUUAAGUAUUCCACCUGGGGAGUACGCCGGCAACGGUGAAACUCAAAGGAAUUGACGGGGGCCCGCACAAGCGGAGGAACAUGUGGUUUAAUUCGAUGAUACGCGAGGAACCUUACCCGGGCUUAAAUUGCAAAUGAAUUAUGGGGAAACCCAUACGCCGCAAGGCAUUUGUGAAGGUGCUGCAUGGUUGUCGUCAGCUCGUGCCGUGAGGUGUCGGCUUAAG
rnacentral:rRNA from 1 species